GAUGAACGCUGGCGGCGUGCCUAAUACAUGCAAGUCGAGCGAACAGACGAGGAGCUUGCUCCUCUGAUGUUAGCGGCGGACGGGUGAGUAACACGUGGAUAACCUACCUAUAAGACUGGGAUAACUUCGGGAAACCGGAGCUAAUACCGGAUAACAUGUUGAACCGCAUGGUUCAACAGUGAAAGACGGUCUUGCUGUCACUUAUAGAUGGAUCCGCGCCGCAUUAGCUAGUUGGUAAGGUAACGGCUUACCAAGGCAACGAUGCGUAGCCGACCUGAGAGGGUGAUCGGCCACACGGGAACUGAGACACGGUCCAGACUCCUACGGGAGGCAGCAGUAGGGAAUCUUCCGCAAUGGGCGAAAGCCUGACGGAGCAACGCCGCGUGAGUGAAGAAGUUCUUCGGAUCGUAAAACUCUGUUAUUAGGGAAGAACAAAUGUGUAAGUAACUAUGCACGUCUUGACGGUACCUAAUCAGAAAGCCACGGCUAACUACGUG
rnacentral:rRNA from 1 species